rnacentral:lncRNA from 1 species
GGGCCUCUGCAUUGGACAACUCCAGAGGGCACCAUUGGGGUUAUACCUUGUGUUUGCCUAACCUUCAUUGCAGUGGGCAGGUGCAUGCUUUCUACAAUGUCCUAAGGUCUAAAGGGGUAGAGUUCUGUGUGUGGCAUUUUAGGCCUGGAAAGGAUGAGAGUCUACAAAACCAGAGAAAUACUGCAGCCAUUGGUAAGAAGCACACAUGACAACCUGGACUUUCCAUCAACAUUUGAAGCGGGAGCAGUCUUGUGGGAUCAAGCUCUUAACCUGUGGGGUCUGCUACUAACUCUGAGAUCCCAGACCACCACCCAUGAUCCCAGGCUGGAGGAAGCAGCAGGCUAGCGGAAUUCAGGACCAAUGAGCCAGGAAAGAGGACCCAAUGCAGAGCUCACAUCCCACCCUCCUUCCCCCAUGACAAAGCACUGGCAAACCCUGCCAAAGAAGAAGCUUGGCUGCAAAGCAGUCUGGAACUGGACCCGGGAUAGAUUCACCAGGAGCUCACCACCACAGGGAAUGCUGCACUUUGACUGGACAGAAUGCAUCCUCCAUGCCCACAGAGCAUGUGCCCAGGAUGAAUCUCACUGUAUCCCAGUUCCUCAUGCUUGGCCCCAAACCUCUUUUUCACAGUAAUAAAGAAAACACACUUUACAAAAAGG